CAUAAAUCAUGUUUUGAUUUUUUAUUUUAUUAAUGUAGGUAAAGUUUUAUUUUGGCUUAAAAAUUGCUUUUAUUUUGUUUUUCAUGUAAAUUUUUUUUGUGAAUUUAUUUAUAUUCUUAAUGAAUUAUAUAGUUUAUUUAUUCGCAGUGAAUAGAUUUUUAAAUUAAAGAAAUUUAGAUAAAUUAAUAAUAUUUAGUGUUGACUAAUUUUGUGCCAGCAGUCGCGGUUAUACAAAAAAUACAAGUAAUUUAUUUUUAUAAUAGUUAGGUUGCAAAUAUUAAUUAAUAAUUAAUUUUUUAGGUGAAAUUUUAAAUUAAUUUAUAUUAUAAUAUUAAUUAACUGAUUCUAGUAAAUUAAAAUUAUAAACUAGGAUUAGAUACCCUAUUAUUUUUAAUUAAAAUAUACAAUAUAAAGGUAGUAAUUGUUAAUUUCUUGAAACUUAAAAAAUUUGGCGGUAUCUUAGUCUUUUUAGAGGAACCUGUUCUGUAAUCGAUAGUCCACGUUAAAUUUUACUUAAAUUUGUUUAGUUUGUAUACCGCCGUUAUUAAAUAUUUCAUAAGAAUGGAAAUUUUUAAUUAUUUUUAUAAAAAUUUAUAUCAGGUCAAGGUGCAGUUUAUGUUUAAGUAGAAAUGGGUUACAAUAAAAUUAUUUAUAUGAAUUUUAUUUAAAAAUAAAUAAAUGAAGGUGGAUUUAAAAGUAAAAUUAUAAAUUAAGUUAAUUUGAUUUUAGCUCUAAGAUAUGUACACAUCGCCCGUCGCUCUUAUUUUUAAAGUAAGAUAAGUCGUAACAUAGUAGAUGUACUGGAAAGUGUAUCUAGAAAA
rnacentral:ncRNA from 1 species